CAACAGGGGAACCUCUGAAAAAAGGAGUCAUUGCUGUUUUGUGCUUUGGAUCAGUAUCUGGAUCCACUGUCCCUGACUCGAGUCAACACUCAGUGUCUCUAAACUCUCUUUGCUUCCUCAUUUUAUCGUCCACUCUCCAACCACUUGUCUUAAUCCACUUAAUUUCCUCCUUGGAGUCCCUCAAGUCCCAAACCUUGCCAUGCUCAGCCUGGUCCAAAGCGGAAGCAGCAGAACCCCCUGCCCCGCUUUGCCUCUGUGCCUUCUCAGGGCCGUGCACAGAGGGUGGGAAGAGGCAGCAGUCAGCAGAGCAGAGGUGGGGCGAGCAGGAAUGCGGGGUGAGACCAAAGAGAUCCUCAGGGAAAUUGCUGCAGCUGCAUUGUUCUGCUUCCUGUGACUCAAAGUGCAACGCCAGUGUGCCCAGGGGGCCGGUGCUGUGAGGUACGAGUGUCACACCGAGUGUGGGCACAACACUAAUGGAAAAUGCUGCUUUAAACUCUUAUCUUAAGCCUUCUGUUCAGCACCCGAGCUCAAAGCCUGCAUCCUUCCAGGUCUGUGAUGCUGUGCACCUGCCAGCUGCAGCGCUCCGAGUUGUCUUUGCAGAGCAGCACAAGCCUGUUGUGACACCUUGGUGCCUUUGGCUCCGCUCCCAUUCUCUAGAAUUGCACUUGGCCUUGCUUUGGCCCUCUGCCCAGCCUGAAUUCGCCUUCUUGGUUUUCACUUAUUUCCCAUAUCACUUUUCUCUCCUGCUUCUCCUCAGGGAUCUGGCUGCAAACCUUCGUGCCCAGGUGGGUGAGCAGCCGCUCCCUCCCAGGGUCCCUUCAUUUGUGAGAGAGAGACGUGGGACGUUUGCAGUUUUUCUUCCUCCUUCCAGCUGAAUGUUAGACAGUUCUUCUCCUGAAUGUCUCUCUUCUCCCUUUUCCUGAAUCGGCCCCUCAGUUUUAUUUCUCUGUGAGCUGUCUGGUUGCUGGUAUUUUAAAAAUAAAUCAAGUAGACCCUGCAAAUGGCCCUGAGAAGGAAGCCUGGCUAGCCCCUGGGAUCAGACACGCAUGGUACACACGUAUAGCUCUGGUUUGCCCACAUCGUUUGGAUAAGGUAUCAGAGAGCACAGACUGCCUUUGCACUGAAGCCUGCAGGUCAAGGAGUUGGCCUCCCUUCAGCCCAGGGGCCGUGUGGCUGCCAGCCCAUAAGCUAAAGCUUAUUUCUGGAACAUGCUGGAAACCCACCUCAGACAACAAUGCGUUUGAUUCCUCCUUUCCAGGCAUGUUCACUUUUGCUUCUUUCUUACGGGGAAGAUUUUGCUUCCAUCUCCCUUCUGCUCUUCUUCUCAAGCCAGCGCAACACAAGGAGAGCCAACCCCGGUCAUUCUUCAAGAGCUGAGUGCCUUCACAGUUAAGCAUAUAAUUAGCCACUUGGAUAAAGUAGGUGUGUGGUGUCACAGAGUCACCAAGCUGAACCUAGGCCUUCUGAAGUCCGAAUCAACUCCAUCAUCAGAGCAGCCUUCCUGUAGGCACGCCAGCACUUGCAGCAUGGCCCAGAACCUCCUGCCUUUGAACUUCCCAGCUUUAGGCUGCUGCGUCAGCGUCUGUGUAUGAUGGAAGCAGUGAAGGGGGAAACAGGUAAUUGCUUAGGGAGGAAAAAGCCAAAAAUGAAACCAUGCCUUGCUGCCACUGACACGAGCUCUGCUCCUGCUCAUGUGCUUUUGGGUAAUAGAUUUUUAGGAGAGAAUGUGGUGGGCUUUGAUUCUGCUUACAGGUGUUGUCUCAGAGCAGAAGAGAACAGAGCAGGCAACAGUGAGUAAGAACACUUCUACCUUGAAAACAAACCCAGAGAACACCUCACUCCUUAGCUCACUCCAUCAAUAACAGAACAGUCUUGCUGCACUGCAGUGAACUGCUAAAAAGUUAUCGUCAGGAAGGACUGGAAGUACUUCUAGCUCUUUCCUUCCCAUAUACCUGCUUCAGAAGGACUAAACCUGUGGGGUGCCUGGAGUGAACUGAGUUGUCCUGCACUAACAUGGAUUGCUUUGCACUAGAGUAAGCCACUGAGGUCUCUGGUGAAGACCUUGCUGCACUUAGCAUGUUUUAGCUAAGUGUGAUGGAUUUGUGUUUAUGUGUCCGUGUGUGUUUAUAUACACAUACAUGGCUAUAAAAGUACAUGGGAUACUGAGUUGAAGUAGGACAGAACUGACAACGCCAGUAUAACCUGCAGCCUCAUUUAGAUGUCCGUGGAGAAGCAGCCUUUCCUCCUGAAGUGAUUUUCCUCAUCACAUGUCUGUGGGAAGCUGAUGCUCUGUUCACACAUAUUCACUACGUAGGCCUAUUUGGUGAGUAUUUUCUAUUAACGGCCCUUGGUCUGCUCGUGGUGAGCACUUCGUCACCGGGCAGGUGGUGCACAUGAGCCCCACCAGCAUCCUGUGGCUGGAGAUGGAAGCCACAAGCCAUGCCCGUGUUCUCCACCUCCGGUCAGAUGGGAAUCCCUAAGAGGAUUCCUCCUCUCUGCUGUCAGGGGAGGACGUUCACAGUCACGAGUCUGAAAUUCAGAGAUGUGCUGACAUUUCCAGGCACUUACAAUAAUGCUCACUGCUGAACUCCUUUGCUGCUGCUGAAAACCAAACAGAACGUGCUCAGAGCAAACUCAUCUAGCAAAUUCAAGCAUGUCCUCCUAGAACUCCUUUUGCAGCAGCUGUCCUGCUCUGCUUAUUUAUGCCUUGCGCUAGCAUCUGAAAUCAUUAAGGCCUCUGAUGAUAGCACAUCUCAAGACACAAUUAAAGGACAAAGACAAAUGUCAGCACCCCGGAGGUGCCACAUGGUUUUGCAGAGCAGCGGAUUUGGCAGUGCUGCAGGAGGAGCGCGGCACUGAAGUGUCAGAGUCACAGCUGAACACAAAGCCCAGUAUCAGUGCUGGAGACACCGAGGUGGUGUGGAUGCUAAGGGUGCUGCCAGCGUUGUGGUGUUCUCAAAACGUAUCUGUGGCUCAACCAAUCUGAAAUGAGUCUUCUCCUCUUAACCACGUGGCCUUACAGUGUUCCUUAGGAGAACGGCAGCCUUGUGGAUGCUCAUCCCUGGAGGUGUUCAAGGCCAGGUUGGAUGGGCCCUGGGCAGCCCGAUCUGGUGCCUGUGUAGUUUGUGGCAACACUGCCUGUGGCAUGGGGGCUGGAAAUGGAUGGUCUUUGGUGGUGAUGGGUUGGAAGUUGGACCUCCACGAUCACCUUGGAGGUCUUUUCCAGCCUUAAUGACUGUAUGAUUCUAUGAAUACAUCCCUUCUGGAGGUCCCUCUCACAUCUCAAGGAUGAUGUUUUGAUGGAAUGGGAAGCAAACGUAGGCUAAAAGCUAUGAUUAUUUCUAGAACGUGCAUGAGAAUAUGGAUAUUCCUCUUGUAACAGUGAUCAAGAAAACCAAUCAGUGUAUAAAUGAUUUUACAACACGUGGCUUCGGUCGUAGAAAUCUAGCAUUGUAGGAGUUGAAAGGGGCCCCUAAAGGUCAUCACGUUCAAUUCCUCUGCAGUGCACAGGGACACCCACAGCUCCAUCAGUGCUCAGAGCCCCGUCCCGUCUGCCCUCGGGGUCUGCAGGGAUGGGGCACCACUGCCUCUCCAGGCAACCUGUGCUGGAGGUGUUUGUAGCACAGGUCGGGAGCCUUUCCAUAGCGUACCAUGAAGAUGGCUUUAGCUGUAUUUUAAAACUGCACUGGUGGGACAGGCCAGCUCUGAAGCAUUCGCAAUCACAAUAAUGUCAGGGUGGCAGUAAGAGCUGUUCCCUUCACCACUGGAGCAGCUGUGCUUGUUUCCAUCGGCUGCACUCGGGCUCUUCAGUGAGGAGCUGCUUUGGAAAAUGUAAUCCCUCGGAGCUGUUUGUUCAGUGCCUUCGCUUUAAUGGACCCGCUUAGGCAGCUGAAAGGAAGGGGUAGGAGGGAAUCGAUCUUAGCACACUUAUGGGCAUCCCCUCCUGUAAUUGAUGUCAUUACAACUUCUCUGACAUGUGACUUUAUUUACUUAUUUACGGCUCCAGGCUUGCUUCUGCCCAAGCACAGAUCUGGUGAGACAAGGGGUUGGGUUUUUUUGGGUUUUGAUUUUUUCUUUCUUUUCCCAAGGCGGGUUGUUUGCAAACUCUGGAGCCCAAAAGGUGCAGCUGCUCUAAAAAUAACACAGGAUACAAGAACUGCUUUGGGGAGGUCCCUCUCUGCCCCAGUCCAAAGGCACCUCCCAAAGUGCUGCCAUGAGUGGGGAAGUUUGUCUUGUAAGCAGAGCUGCCCGAAUUUCUAGGGGUGCUGAAUACUGGAUAUUAGAAAACAUUUCUUCUCCCAAAGAGCAGUGCUGCGUUGGCACAGCUGCCAGGAGUGGUGGAUGGGGU
rnacentral:lncRNA from 1 species